UCUGUGCUCCCAAGCUUCAAAUUUUUAUGACGCACAAGGGUUAAAAUACGUCACAAUGCAAAACGUCUUACUAGUACUGGUAGAAUUAAUUUUCUUUAGGCAAAAAUUUGUUUUAUUUUUGGUCCUUUUGAUUUUGGGUUGAAAUAUGACCUGGAUAUAUCUUGAGGUAAAUAUGUUUAAAUAUCUCCCUGUAUUUUUUUAUUGCACAUUUUAGUUACCUACCGGACUUUCUUCUUUGCAGUGAUGAAUACAAUAUGGUAUUAAUUGAUGUGAAUGGGCCCUUACUACCAGACCAACUGGUUUAUUUGUAAUAAGAGGUUUCAAUCAAUGUUUAACCCCAGAUGUGAUCAUUCAUGUUCAUAAUGUCUAUUGUUAUUAUUUUAUAAGAACUCCUUUUAGGCACGACACCUCCUACUCAUUUAAAUUUGCCUCACAUGCACGCAGAAAGACGGCUAACACUAAACACAGUGUUGUGGAGUAAAUACUCCAUGUUUAAGAAUGUGGUCUGAUUUCCAUAUAUUAGCAGCUGUGGCCUCCGGCUGGACGAACACCCCUUCAAUGCCUCCAUUGUUCCAAAUUACAACGUGCGCCUUUUGUUAACUCCCCGACUCCAGCGUCCAGUUAAUAUGUCACUUCUUUGAGGAAAGACGUGAAUGUUUUGUCCUUGCCAUAUCAAUACGCAUUCUUUAGUGCCAUUUCAUACAUUAUGCAGUUAUUUUCACUAAACCACAUCUUAAAUUCCAGAUGUUUGAAGAUCUAUCAUGGUUUAGCAGUUACUUGUUGAUUUUGCUGAAUAUGAAAUGAGAAAUUCAGCUUUGAGAGUAUGUGAAGCUGUGGUCACAGAUGACGAACUGUGAGUGAAUGGAGUCGCUUGAGUGAGAGAGUGAUAUUAUGUGUGCUAGUGGCACUCCACUGUGUUUCGACGUCAGCUCAAACAAUGACGUGAUUGUUUUUCACAAUAAGGGAUGGAUCCUUGUCUCUGCAUAGCCAACACAGUCUACACCGUUUUGUUUUGGUCCAGGCUAUUGGUUCAGUUUGAAAAAUGUGUAGAAAUAGAUCAUACUGUAGCAAUCUGUUCGAACAUCCUGAGCAUUGGGGUGCUGGGGCUUUCCAACUUGUUUUAGCAAUUGCAUUUGAUGCCACUACUGACACAGAAAUAACACGCUUCCCCUUUGACGUGUCUAUUUAGUUGCCUUCUUUUGGUAUGUGAUUCUAUACUUGCAUGUUUACUUGAUUACUUUUCCAAAGAUGCAUAAGAAACUGAUUUUCCAUAUUUCCUUUUUAGAUGUAGAACCCUUCAUUUACUGCAAGCCACAGCGUUUGACAAUAGAAUUAAGCACCAACAGUAGCUUCGAAGUUUUAGUUUCAGCUCCAUUUGUCAUGCCAUAAAUCAGCAUUGAUGCCAACUAAAAUUUUUUCAGGAUCCAAAGUCUUUGCAAGCACAUUGAAGGAACUUUAUAAUCUAUUAAUGCCAUGAUUUUGACAAAAAUAUACACGUUGAGUGUUUAAUAUUGAAUGUUGUACUUUUUAUAUGCAUAUUGUCCAGAUCUCAGCUAGUGGUUGAAUGGUAAUUGUAGACUUUUUGAGGUAAUAAUGCUAUUUUCCGUGUGAGCCGCGAGAUUGUAAAUAUACUGUACACAGUAUGACUUUGAGAACUCUAAUGGUACCAGUGUGCAAAAGUCUUUUGAGAGAUAUUUUAAACAGUGCUUCUUGGUAACCAGACUUUGCCAACUGGCUUAAAUUGAUUUCUAUAUUACUGGUAAAGAGGUACAUUUUGAUGCCUAAAAUUGGGGUGAACAAUCUCCUCACCUGCUUUUUAUGUUAUUCUACAAAACAAUGUUGUGAGAUAAUAAAAAGAAAUGAAAUCAGA